UACAGAGGUGGCAAGCGUUGUUCGGAAUUACUGGGCGUAAAGGGCGCGUAGGCGGUUCGUUAAGUCCUGUGUGAAAUCCCCGGGCUCAACCCGGGAACUGCGUCCGAUACUGGCAGGCUUGAAUUCGGGAGAGGGAUGCGGAAUUCCAGGUGUAGCGGUGAAAUGCGUAGAUAUCUGGAGGAACACCGGUGGCGAAGGCGGCAUCCUGGACCGAGAUUGACGCUGAGGCGCGAAAGCCAGGGGAGCAAACGGG
rnacentral:rRNA from 1 species